rnacentral:rRNA from 1 species
AUUAAACGCUGGCGGCAUGCCUUACACAUGCAAGUCGAACGGUAGCGCGGGGCAACCUGGCGACGAGUGGCGAACGGGUGAGUAAAGCAUCGGAACGUGCCCUGGAAUGGGGGAUAACGUAGCGAAAGUUACGCUAAUACCGCAUAUUCUGUGAGCAGGAAAGCAGGGGAUCGCAAGACCUUGCGUUCUGGGAGCGGCCGAUGUCGGAUUAGCUAGUUGGUGGGGUAAAAGCCUACCAAGGCGACGAUCCGUAGCGGGUCUGAGAGGAUGAUCCGCCACACUGGGACUGAGACACGGCCCAGACUCCUACGGGAGGCAGCAGUGGGGAAUUUUGGACAAUGGGCGGAAGCCUGAUCCAGCCAUGCCGCGUGAGUGAAGAUGGCCUC